AUCCAGGUCCCAACUCUCAUAGGAGAUGUAGUUGUCAAGGUUUGCUCUGGCGCCCAGCCUGGUCAAAUGGUAGUUUUGAAGAAGAAAGGGAUCAAGACGAGGAACUCUUAUUCAUUUGGUGAUCAAUAUGUGCACUUCAAUGAAUUUGACCCCAAGGCAAAGUGAAUUGAUUGAAGAGUUUGCCAGAGAAGAGCAAAGGGAAUAUGAAAAGUGUGCUACUGCUGGAGCAUCUGGGUAAAAAUGUAAACCAAAAAAGGCUUCAUUUCUUUGCCAAUUCAUAGAAAGUCAAGCUUAGCAAAAAAGGAUAAAGGCAACCGAAGGAAAAGCAUCAAUUGUUGAAAGACCC